rnacentral:rRNA from 1 species
GACGAACGCUGGCGGCGUGCUUAACACAUGCAAGUCGAACGGAAAGGCCUGCUUUCCCUUGUGGUUUGCGGGUACUCGAGUGGCGAACGGGUGAGUAACACGUGAGUGAUCUGCCCCCAACUUGGGUAUAAGCCUGGGAAACUGGGUCUAAUUCCCGAUAGGACUGCAGGGUGGUGCCUGUGGUGGAAAACGAUUUUCUAGUGGUUGGGGAUGAGCUCGCGGCCUAUCAGCUUGUUGGUGGGGUAAUGGCCUACCAAGGCGGGGACGGGUAGCCGGCGUGGGAGGGUGGACGGUGACAUUGAGACUGGGACAAGGCCCAGACUGCUAGGGGAGGCAGGAGUGGGGAAGAAAGGACAAAGGGCGGAAGGGUGAUGCACCGAGGCCGCGUGGGGGAUGACGGGAUCGGGAUUGUAAACUCCUUGGGACCGCGAGAAAGGCACGUGGCUGGAAGGGUGGUGACGGUAGUGGUAGAAGAAGCACCGGCUAACUACGUG